rnacentral:rRNA from 1 species
CAGGUUUACCUGUGUGACUGCGUACCUUUUGUAUAAUGGGUCAGCGACUUAUAUUCUGUAGCAAGGUUAACCGUAUAGGGGAGCCGUAGGGAAACCGAGUCUUAACCGGGCGUUAAGUUGCAGGGUAUAGACCCGAAACCCGGUGAUCUAGCCAUGGGCAGGUUGAAGGUUGGGUAACACUAACUGGAGGACCGAACCGACUAAUGUUGAAAAAUUAGCGGAUGACCUGUGGCUGGGGGUGAAAGGCCAAUCAAACCGGGAGAUAGCUGGUUCUCCCCGAAAGCUAUUUAGGUAGCGCCUCGUGAAUUCAUCUCCGGGGGUAGAGCACUGUUUCGGCUAGGGGGCCAUCCCGGCUUACCAACCCGAUGCAAACUGCGAAUACCGGAGAAUGUUAUCACGGGAGACACACGGCGGGUGCUAACGUCCGUCGUGAAGAGGGAAACAACCCAGACCGCCAGCUAAGGUCCCAAAGUCAUGGUUAAGUGGGAAACGAUGUGGGAAGGCCCAGACAGCCAGGAUGUUGGCUUAGAAGCAGCCAUCAUUUAAAGAAAGCGUAAUAGCUCACUGGUCGAGUCGGCCUGCGCGGAAGAUGUAACGGGGCUAAACCAUGCACCGAAGCUGCGGCAGCGACACUAUGUGUUGUUGGGUAGGGGAGCGUUCUGUAAGCCUGUGAAGGUGUGUCGUGAGGC